UGCGAUGUAGAACAAGAGGUGGUUCAUGAGGCUCAUAACCUCAAGGGUGAUGGUUCGAGUCCAUCCAUCGCAC